rnacentral:rRNA from 1 species
GAGUAACACGUGACUAACCUAACCCCUCCGAUGGGGAAUAACCUAGAGAAAUCUGGGCUAAUACCGCAUAACACUUACGAGUCAAAGCAGAAAUGCGCUUGAGGAGGGGGUCGCGGCAGAUUAGCUAGUUGGCGGGGUAAUGGCCCACCAAGGCAAUGAUCUGUAUCCGGCCUGAGAGGGCGCACGGACACACUGAACUGAAACACGGUCCAG